rnacentral:rRNA from 1 species
UACGUAGGGUCCGAGCGUUGUCCGGAAUUAUUGGGCGUAAAGGGCUCGUAGGCGGUUUGUCGCGUCGGGAGUGAAAACCUACAGCUUAACUGUGGGCUUGCUUUCGAUACGGGCAGACUUGAGGCAUGCAGGGGAGAACGGAAUUCCUGGUGUAGCGGUGAAUGCGCAGAUAUCAGGAGGAACACCGGUGGCGAAGGCGGUCUCUGGGCAUGUUCUGACGCUGAGGAGCGAAAGUGUGGGGAGCGAACAGG